GGGUUGUGAGGUUAAGCGACUAAGCGUACACGGUGGAUGCCCUGGCAGUCAGAGGCGAUGAAGGGCGUGCUAAUCUGCGAUAAGCGCCGGUAAGGUGAUAUGAACCGUUAUAACCGGCGAUACCCGAAUGGGGAAACCCAGUGUGACUCGUCACACUAUCAUUAACUGAAUCCAUAGGUUAAUGAGGCGAACCGGGGGAACUGAAACAUCUAAGUACCCCGAGGAAAAGAAAUCAACCGAGAUUCCCCCAGUAGCGGCGAGCGAACGGGGAGGAGCCCAGAGCCUGAAUCAGCAUGUGUGUUAGUGGAAGCGUCUGGAAAGGCGCGCGAUACAGGGUGACAGCCCCGUACACAAAAGCGCAUGUGCUGUGAGCUCGAUGAGUAGGGCGGGACACGUGGUAUCCUGUCUGAAUAUGGGGGGACCAUCCUCCAAGGCUAAAUACUCCUGACUGACCGAUAGUGAACCAGUACCGUGAGGGAAAGGCGAAAAGAACCCCGGCGAGGGGAGUGAAAAAGAACCUGAAACCGUGUACGUACAAGCAGUGGGAGCACAGGUUUACCUGUGUGACUGCGUACCUUUUGUAUAAUGGGUCAGCGACUUAUAUUCUGUAGCAAGGUUAACCGAAUAGGGGAGCCGGAGGGAAACCGAGUCUUAACCGGGCGUUAAGUUGCAGGGUAUAGACCCGAAACCCGGUGAUCUAGCCAUGGGCAGGUUGAAGGUUGGGUAACACUAACUGGAGGACCGAACCGACUAAUGUUGAAAAAUUAGCGGAUGACCUGUGGCUGGGGGUGAAAGGCCAAUCAAACCGGGAGAUAGCUGGUUCUCCCCGAAAGCUAUUUAGGUAGCGCCUCGUGAAUUCAUCUCCGGGGGUAGAGCACUGUUUCGGCUAGGGGGCCAUCCCGGCUUACCAACCCGAUGCAAACUGCGAAUACCGGAGAAUGUUAUCACGGGAGACACACGGCGGGUGCUAACGUCCGUCGUGAAGAGGGAAACAACCCAGACCGCCAGCUAAGGUCCCAAAGUCAUGGUUAAGUGGGAAACGAUGUGGGAAGGCCCAGACAGCCAGGAUGUUGGCUUAGAAGCAGCCAUCAUUUAAAGAAAGCGUAAUAGCUCACUGGUCGAGUCGGCCUGCGCGGAAGAUGUAACGGGGCUAAACCAUGCACCGAAGCUGCGGCAGCGAACGUAUCACUUAAAGCGAUUCAGCGGGUUACGAUUGACGGAGCGAAGCGACGUCAAAGCGUAUACAAAGUCGAGUCGGUUUAAGGAUACGUUCGUUGGGUAGGGGAGCGUUCUGUAAGCCUGCGAAGGUGGCCUGUGAGGGUUGCUGGAGGUAUCAGAAGUGCGAAUGCUGACAUAAGUAACGAUAAAGCGGGUGAAAAGCCCGCUCGCCGGAAGACCAAGGGUUCCUGUCCAACGUUAAUCGGGGCAGGGUGAGUCGACCCCUAAGGCGAGGCCGAAAGGCGUAGUCGAUGGGAAACGGGUUAAUAUUCCCGUACUUGGUGUUACUGCGAAGGGGGGACGGAGAAGGCUAUGUUGGCCGGGCGACGGUUGUCCCGGUUUAAGCGUGUAGGUGUGUGUUCCAGGUAAAUCCGGUUCACUUUAACACUGAGGCGUGACGACGAGGCACUACGGUGCUGAAGCAACAAAUGCCCUGCUUCCAGGAAAAGCCUCUAAGCAUCAGGUAACAUCAAAUCGUACCCCAAACCGACACAGGUGGUCAGGUAGAGAAUACCAAGGCGCUUGAGAGAACUCGGGUGAAGGAACUAGGCAAAAUGGUGCCGUAACUUCGGGAGAAGGCACGCUGACAUGUAGGUGAAGUGAUUUACUCACGGAGCUGAAGUCAGUCGAAGAUACCAGCUGGCUGCAACUGUUUAUUAAAAACACAGCACUGUGCAAACACGAAAGUGGACGUAUACGGUGUGACGCCUGCCCGGUGCCGGAAGGUUAAUUGAUGGGGUCAGCGCAAGCGAAGCUCCUGAUCGAAGCCCCGGUAAACGGCGGCCGUAACUAUAACGGUCCUAAGGUAGCGAAAUUCCUUGUCGGGUAAGUUCCGACCUGCACGAAUGGCGUAAUGAUGGCCAGGCUGUCUCCACCCGAGACUCAGUGAAAUUGAACUCGCUGUGAAGAUGCAGUGUACCCGCGGCAAGACGGAAAGACCCCGUGAACCUUUACUAUAGCUUGACACUGAACAUUGAGCCUUGAUGUGUAGGAUAGGUGGGAGGCUUUGAAGUGUGGACGCCAGUCUGCAUGGAGCCGACCUUGAAAUACCACCCUUUAAUGUUUGAUGUUCUAACGUGGACCCGUAAUCCGGGUUGCGGACAGUGUCUGGUGGGUAGUUUGACUGGGGCGGUCUCCUCCUAAAGAGUAACGGAGGAGCACGAAGGUUGGCUAAUCCUGGUCGGACAUCAGGAGGUUAGUGCAAUGGCAUAAGCCAGCUUGACUGCGAGCGUGACGGCGCGAGCAGGUGCGAAAGCAGGUCAUAGUGAUCCGGUGGUUCUGAAUGGAAGGGCCAUCGCUCAACGGAUAAAAGGUACUCCGGGGAUAACAGGCUGAUACCGCCCAAGAGUUCAUAUCGACGGCGGUGUUUGGCACCUCGAUGUCGGCUCAUCACAUCCUGGGGCUGAAGUAGGUCCCAAGGGUAUGGCUGUUCGCCAUUUAAAGUGGUACGCGAGCUGGGUUUAGAACGUCGUGAGACAGUUCGGUCCCUAUCUGCCGUGGGCGCUGGAGAACUGAGGGGGGCUGCUCCUAGUACGAGAGGACCGGAGUGGACGCAUCACUGGUGUUCGGGUUGUCAUGCCAAUGGCACUGCCCGGUAGCUAAAUGCGGAAGAGAUAAGUGCUGAAAGCAUCUAAGCACGAAACUUGCCCCGAGAUGAGUUCUCCCUGAGACUUAGAGUCUCCUGAAGGAACGUUGAAGACGACGACGUUGAUAGGCCGGGUGUGUAAGCGCAGCGAUGCGUUGAGCUAACCGGUACUAAUGAACCGUGAGGCUUAACCUUACAACGCCGAAG
rnacentral:rRNA from 1 species